rnacentral:misc_RNA from 1 species
UUGAAUGAAUCUUGGGGUUAGGUUAUUGCUGGCUCUUAGGGGCAUGUGCACACCUACUCCAAUUUUUUCAACCCCUUGUGCACCUCUUGUAGAUCUUGAAUAAUUUUUCGAGAGAUAAUAAAACUCGGACUGAGAAUUGCUGUGUGUAACAACCAGCUUUUCUUGUUUCAGGUCUAUGUAUUUUUAUAUCUACUCUAUACAAGGAAUGUAGUAAUGGGCAUUAAAAACAAAUA